CGCUUCUGGUCUCCUCUCUACUCUUUUCAGAGCAUGGCUCCUUUAAGUCCAGGAGAAGCUGGUUUGCAGAGGAAGUCCGACCAGACACUGAGCAGAGUGAAUGGCUGUGCCGAUCUAGCCACACCUAUUUCAUAUGUUUCUUUAGUGUCUUUCAGCUUGCCCAUUCGUCCAUCCCUGCCUGAUUUGUUCUUAGAUUUGCCCCCAAGACGCUGGUCUUGGCUUGUCCUAGUUUGAACUUGGUGUCUCUGGCGAUUGACUCAUGUUCUGACCUCCACCCAUCCCCAAUUCUGCUUUUCUACUCUUUGGCGUCUCCAAGCACCUGACCUCAGCUCAACCUGCCUCUGGCCUUGUUUCUCCUGCCUGACACCAACAGCUGGAAAGAACCCUGCCCUUCUAUGAGGAGAGAGAUGAGGCUCAGCGUGGUUUACCGGAAAUAAAGCUUGCAUUAUGGGAGGGAACAAACAGUCUCCAGGUGAGAAAUUAUGGGAACUGUCACGCCAAAUCAGCUGGUCGCCCUUAUGUCAUGGGAUCCGGACCAGGAGGAGAAGGCUGGCCGGGCGGAGUGCAUGUGAUCAGCGUGUGACAGGCCGUGCAUCCAGCCUGCUGAUGGCACUGGCUCUCCUGGCCCAAGUAACCACAAAAAGGAACAGAUUUCAGACAGGCAGUUUUACAGCGUCCCUGUGGUUACUUUGCAACUUCCAGCCACUUCUUUCUCUAGCACUGAACCAAAGAGACACGUAACCAUUAUCAAAAUGUUCUGAAUAUACAGGUCACUCCGUUUCAGUUAUCUUUAAUCUGAGGUGCAUCGAUUUACCUUUCCACACCAAUCCACUCAAUUUACGUUUAGCUCAAGCUUUCAAAUUAAUUGCAUCCUGAAUUUAAAAAACAAAACAAAACAGUUUAGGGAGGUGAAGACUGUUCUCUGUCGCUGGAAAGAUUGAGAUGACCGGCUUUUCCAGAGAGCCUUUAAAAGGUUUUUCGUUGUAGCCACGGCCAGUUGUGAUAUUUUUCCCCAACCCUCAUCUGUAGCAGGGCACCUGCUGCUAAUGUUUCAUUUUCUGUGGUUUUUAUUUAAAAUGUCUCCAUCACGUUU